GUCCACGCCGUAAACUAUCAAUACUCGUUUUCAGCGAUAUACAGUUGGAGACUAAGCGAAAGUGAUAAGUAUUGCACCUGGGGAGUACGAUCGCAAGGUUGAAACUCAAAGGAAUUGACGGGGGCCCGCACAAGCGGUGGAGCAUGUGGUUUAAUUCGAUGAUACGCGAGGAACCUUACCAGGGCUUAAAUGUAGAGGGAAUGUAGUGGAAACAUUGCAGUCUUCGGACCGUCUACAAGGUGCUGCAUGGCUGUCGU
rnacentral:rRNA from 1 species